AAAUGAAGCUGGCAGUUGUCUUUGGAGAGAGCGUGUGGUGACCCUGGCCCUGCUGGGAGCAGGAAGCGGCGCCUUCAGGCCAGUCCAUCGGGAGAAAUGGGCCAAAGAACUGGAAUCUGCAGAAACCCUCCUGCUUGGGAGCCUAGCACACCAGUUGUAAGAAAGCUCAUCCUCUAAUCUGGGUUUCUUCAAAAGAAGGUGGAAAAUGAAGCCCAAGUUCUGCAAGGCCAUUGUAUUUCUUCCUUCUAAAUCUAUGGUACAAAAAUAAAAUCCACAUGCAGGAACAUUUAUGAAAUGUGCUGGACUUAACACACGGUCGCAUGGAUGCCGUUGCUGCCAUCGGUGCUGACGCUGCUCCAGCAGCCCUCGGCCACCUUCAUCCUGCCGCCUCCAAGCUGCUCCCAAGGGAAUCCUCCUGGCCCUGCAGCAUGAAGACCUCUGAAACGGGACGUGGAAGAAGUGGGAGGGUGCAGGAAAACGAGACCGUCGAGCAACAUCAGCCUUGUGACGCCUUUCCUCACAGCAGUUGCUCUCUGGUUGUUGCAUCAUUUCUAUAAAUAGGAUUUAAGAUGC